rnacentral:rRNA from 1 species
GCGCUGCGAGAGGGGCCUGCGUCCGAUUAGCUAGUUGGUGGGGUAAGGGCCUACCAAGGCAAUGAUCGGUAGCUGGUCUGAGAGGAUGAUCAGCCACACGGGAACUGAGACACGGUCCCG